CACGUAGGGCGCAAGCGUUGUCCGGAAUUAUUGGGCGUAAAGAGCUCGUAGGCGGUCUGUUGCGUCCGCUGUGAAAACUCGGGGCUUAACCCCGAGCCUGCAGUGGAUACGGGCAGACUAGAGGUAGGUAGGGGAGAAUGGAAUUCCCGGUGUAGCGGUGAAAUGCGUAGAGAUCGGGAAGAACACCAGUGGCGAAGGCGGCCGGCUGGGGGCGCCCUGACGCUGAGGCGCGAGAGCGUGGGGAGCGAACCGG
rnacentral:rRNA from 1 species